rnacentral:misc_RNA from 1 species
CUGAGUUGCAAUCCAACUCCCAACCAUUGUGAACCUUACCUACUCGUUGCUUCGGCGGGGAGGCCCCUCAGGUGGCAUGCGCGAGACCAUACCCCUACGGCGGGCGGCAUGCCUCGCGCGGCCGGAGUCCAACUUAUAGCUAUUAGUUUACUGGCCUCUCUGAGUAGGUUAUACAAAUAAGUCA